rnacentral:lncRNA from 1 species
ACGAGAUAUAAUGGGAUAAUUGCUCCCAAAAACUAAGUGUACAAAGUAACUCUAUUCUUCAAAAUCCACACAACCGACUUAAUUACAACCAUUCCUCUACUUUGCUUUCUGAAUUUCGUGCUCUUAGCCUUUAAAUUACAUUCAUCCAUUCAGAAUGACAUGCUGGCAAGUUAGGACAUUCUCAGGCCCCAGUAGUUCUCGGACAUGUUUAGGCACCACUUCUUGGACAUGGUCUUGACACAACUUAUCUACCAUUAUGCGGUCCUGAAAAUGUAGUCUUCACAUCAGGGAUAACUUGGAAGAGAUGUGACUAAAACACAAGAUGAAGAAUAUAAAUGCUGUAAAAAUAUAGUAGAAAAUCAACCAUGUAAUAAAGAUUGUGUGAAUAUUGGCAUAGGAUAGCUAAGUGUACAUCCAACUUGUUUGGAUAGAGGGUUAGCUAGUUCUUGGGCAGAAUAAGGAAGGAGUGACAUCCAAACACUCCUAGGGCUUCUUUAGAGAAGGGAAUCAAGUCCCGCAUCCCUCAGAGCCAAAGGCCUAUGUAACGUAACACAAGUUAGCUUUGUAAUGUAACUUGACUUGAAUUCAAUACUCACUCGAGUGUUUGAGUUUGAGAAGAUUGUUAGUUUUCUUCUUUCUCUAAAGAGUUUAUAGUCCUUUCAUAGUGUUCAAGUGACAGUUCUCUUGGUGCUGUUCUUUAGCUUAUCCAAGGUGGAAGAUCUUGAGGAGAUCAAGUUCGUCUCCUUCUUUUGACUUCAAGAGGAAGCCAAUGUUAUGGCGAGGUUCCCAAUUUCCUUUUCUUGUUUCCAUUCAUGUUCUUACUUUUCUUUCCUUAAAAAACAAAUUAACAAGUAGCGUAGACCAAGAUUUGGCCACCAUCAUACACAUAGCCAAGAACCAAGAAACCUAACCAAAUACUCCAAGAAGUCAAGCAAUAAGACCAUUUGACCUUUCCCCUUUUAGACCACCAAAUCACCGUUAUAAUUCAAGAAACCUACACCAUUCUUUUCCUCAUACAUUCCACAACGAUACCCAACCAAAGAACCUUAAAAGAAUCCAAUCUCCAACCUUAUACACCUUACCUAUCUUGACCUUAGCUUGCGCAAAUCCUCACCAAUUCUUGUCUCCAAGAUUCUUCCAAGAUCUGACCUAAACCUUACCUAACCUUUCAGCCAUCCUUACCCUUCCAUAAGCAUACAAACUGCAAGCUACCCAAUCCAAUAACCACCCGAUCUAGGUGAUUGUUCUUCACUCUUUCUCGUCUUUGUGUCUUGACUUGAGUUGUGAAGCUUGCAAGUGGCAAGAUCCAAUUCUUGAUUCUCUGGCCGGAAUCUCAUCAUACCACACCAAUUAAAAAACAUUUUUUCAACAUUUCUUAGAAAGUGAUAUCUACUCUUGGAUAGACAGACACUCUUCAGACACUUCUAUCACAACUUUUCUAAAAUAAACUUAUAUUAUAUUAUUGAUAUUAAACUUAUUUAAAAUUUGAAAUCAUUUAAAAUAUUAUGAAGCACAUUACCCUUCUUCCAUUGAGAACAAACAUCUUUGUGCACAAAACCUUGUUUUUGUCGUGGAUGUUAGUCAGUGCUCUGUUCCAUUGUCGUGGUCGUCAACAUCUGUAUUUGUGUUAGUUUCAAUUGUCACUGAUUUCUGUUGUUGCCAGCUGUGCCUUUGUCUUCUGUGGUUGAGGGUAACUCUCCUCCAACACGUGGUUGCCAACAAGGGUGCUUUUGUCAUUCACCUUUGUGAUUUUCAUCCCUUAUGAAAAUUUUAAAGCUUUUAAAAGUUUGUUUUAGAAGAUGAACAUAUCAAUCUUAAAUCUCAAUUUAGUUUUUUUUUAUGUUGGUUAAAUAUAUGUCUCUGCAGUUUCUUGGUGUUUUAUAUUUUUAGCAUUAGUCCAUUGUGUUCGGUGUCCAUAUUGAUGCUUCACAGCUUGCGGCAUUGAAACUUGCCAACUGUCAUUUUUAGAGAACCCUUUGAUAUAAUAUUGUGAUCUCAAUCUACACUUUGCAAAAUAAGCUGUUUGCAUGCCAAUGAUAUUUGAUUUCCUAUUUUUUUCACUCUGUUCUUCAAGUUCAACUGUGAAUUGGAAAUCUACCAACAUUUGAUCCCCCUUGGUAGAAAUUUAUUGGAGGUGAAAUUGUGCAACAGUUCCUCUAUGUUGCUCCUUUUGGAUGGCUAGCAAUGAAUCAAAAAAAUAUUUGCUAUUUAGAGCCGGAUAUCCCUCAGUAGCAGAAUUAAAUAUCACAAAACCUUAGUUACCUCAGUGAGAGGAGAAUGUGUUUAUUUGAAUGUCAAAUGGGGGCAGUCUGAGCCGGGUCUUGUGAACACUGGCAAUUUUGUCAUCCUUGUGAUACGAAGCUACUUAGUACUGUUGGGGUUACUCAUGUUUAAUCAUUGUCUCCAUUAGUUCGUGAUGUUUGUCGGCAUAGAGACUUUCUUGUUUUGUUGCUCCAGUUUCUUGGGGUCACUGGUGUACACUGGCUUUGCACUUGGUAGUUGGCACUACUUCUGCAGCUGACUGAAUAUACACUAAAGCUAUACAAAUUAGAUGUCGAAAUAGAUUUGACUUUCUACUUGCUCAUUCUGAAUGUAGUAGCAAGAGUUUCCCUUGUGUGCUUGAUUCUGGUGCAUCAGAUUGAACUGAGAUAGUUUAUUGUAUUGUAGUGUAGAGAUCAUUCACUACCAAAAUAUAGCGAGGAUGUUGUGGUUACAUAUAAUGUCACAAACAGUCAAUGGAUGUUGAAUUUUUAUUAUUUGUCCUUUUAAAUAAGUGUGCAUUCACUAUGGUAGACUAGCCUGCAUUGCACAAAAUCCCUGCCGCCCUGGUUUCUCCUGUGUCAUCAUCUGUUUUGUUUAUUUCGAUCUUGUGUGUUAAGUUAAUUUUAUUAAUGGCCUUUUUCAGAUCUUAUUUCACUUUUAUUACUCAUUUGGUGGAUAUGAUUUGAUACUAUAAGAGAAUAGAAUAUAAUAAAAUAAUGAUAUGAUAUGGUAUGACAAUAACAAUUUAUCAUAUCUAGUGUUUUAUGUAUAUAAAAUAUCAAACUAAAUAAUGGUAGGAUAUAAUAUUAAUGACGUUUAGAUGACUUUUCAUUAAAACUUUGUAUAGUUUUCUAAAGGUUGAAUUUUAAUUUACACUUUUUUUUUUUUGCAAAUUAUGAAAAUUGUAAAGAUACAAUUUUAACUAAAUUAUCCAAUAUUGUGUUUCAUUUAUAUACAUGUUUAUAUUAUAAAAGUUUUAUACAAGAUUUUAAAAUUGUAAUUAAUGUUUUUAAAAUAUUGAACUACUAAUGAUUUAACUUUAAUAUUUUAAAAAAUAAUAUAAUUUAAAUUUGUCACGACAAUUAUAAAUAAUAUUAUAUAAUAUGUUGAUUAAAAAAAGAUGAUAUAAAUUAAUAUCAACAAAAUUAUAUUUUGCUUGUAUAGUUACUUUUUCUUAAAAUUACAAAAAAAGAUUAUAAAGGUUUUGUGAAAUUAAUAUUAUGGUUAAAAUAAUUUUAAUAUUUAGUUCACCAUUACAAUUUAAUUAUAUCUUAAGAUUAUAUAUACAAAGAAAAUUUACCCUAUUCUAUUGAAUUUAACUUAGUUCUCCCUAGAAUAAGAAAUAUAUUAGAGCAAGAAAAAUAAAAUAAGUGAUACGUUAAAAUGAGGCCAUUCCUUCCUUCUCCAUAUCAAUUCUAACUUGCACCAUAUAUUUUUCAAAAUUUCCAAAAUUACCCUUAUUCUUGAUUUAAAAAUAGUAAAUAUAAUUAAAAAAAAAUACAUUUUAGAUAAAAAAAUUCAUAACAAAAAAUUAAAAAUGUAUUAUGGUUAAAAAUUGAUAGAAUUCAAAAAUGUAUUCUGGAUUAAAUAUUUCGGAUAAAAGAUUCUAGAAAUAACUUUUAUUAAAAUCCUUCUUUUUCUUAAGGUUAUUUUCGUCAUUUUAAAAGUACGUUUUUGUUAUUUUCAAUAGGUUAAGUGCAGAAUUGAUAUGGUACAGGAGCAUUUGUCUUAAAAUUAUUAUAUCAUGUUGACACUAAUAGAUAUGAUGUUUUUAUCAUAUUGUGUUCAGUAAUGAAUCUUAAAUAAGUUUUUCUUAACCUUUUCAAAGACUUGUUGCGUAUUGAAUUUUUAAAUACACCAAUUAACCUAUGAUUAAAUAAAUCAAUAGGUAUUACUAUGAUUAACAAUUAUUAUAUUGAAAGUAGUUAAAGUUCACAUAAAAGAAUUGCGUUUUAUAAAUAUUAAAAUUUUCUCAAGCAAGAUAUAAUUUCAGUUGUUAAAUAUAACUAUACAAUAUAUUAAAUGUUAAUAUAUUUAUUAAAUAUUAUUAUGUAUCAAUGAGGUGGUUUGUCGGGUCUACUUAAGAAAACGAGUUUUUAAAAAGCCCAUAUCUAACCUCUUUUACUAAAGGCAAUUGCUUCCUGCACCCAAUCAAUUUUGACUGGCACCUAACAAAAGUUUUAAAAUCCCAUUUUGUCAUUUUCACAUUUUUGCUUAUGGAUGUCAAUAUCCGGAAGUGACAUAUUUUCCUGUGGAUAUUGGCAUCUGGAAGUGACAGAUUUGCCUACGGAUACUAACAUUCGAAAGUGUCAGUUUUGCCAACGGAUAUUGGUAUCUGGAAGUGUUAGUUUUGCCUAUGGACAUUGGCAUCUGAAACUAGCACUAUUUGACUACGGUCAUUUUUACCCAGAAGGCACUAUCAUGCUUCUGGAUAUACAUAUCCGGAAGUGAAAUGUUUUUUUUUUUACAGUGUGAUGAUUUUGUUACUUUUAAUGAAUUAAAACCAUUAAACCAAACUAAUUUAAAGAAUACAAGUAAAAUCAACAUUAAAAGGUAUCCAUAAAACCAGAGCACUUGUUUUUCAUUCUAAAAUAUUUAUAUUAUCAUUUAUAUACUUCCAAAUGCAUUAACCAUUGAGGGCAGAGAUAGAAUAUCAUUGAUAGAGAAAAAAAACACCCAAUAAACAAAUUCUGAAUUUUCUAAUCCGGAAGAUUAGCUCAUGUGUGGUGCAUGUUUAUAUCCAGAACUUAUAACACAGUUACAAACAAAAAUAUCCAAAACAAAAAAAAAACGGAAAAACUCACCGUUCUGCGACGCGUCUCUUUCUCUGGUACCUUCAUUCUCUGUUGCCAUCAAAGUGGCUCAAAAGCAUUGCCUGAACAACGCUUGCGCGCGUGUAAGGCUCUAAAAGAGAAUGUGCACAAG